UACGUAGGGUGCAAGCGUUGUCCGGAAUUAUUGGGCGUAAAGAGCUUGUAGGCGGUUUGUCGCGUCUGCUGUGAAAUUUCGGGGCUCAACCCCGAACUUGCAGUGGGUACGGGCAGACUAGAGUGUGGUAGGGGAGACUGGAAUUCCUGGUGUAGCGGUGGAAUGCGCAGAUAUCAGGAGGAACACCGGUGGCGAAGGCGGGUCUCUGGGCCGAUACUGACACUGAGGAGCGAAAGCGUGGGGAGCGAACAGG
rnacentral:rRNA from 1 species